AAUCCAGGGGAGCUGGUUCUCCGCCUCCCAAGCAAGGGAACUUCUGACGGGGGUGACUCUUUGGGUCUUACUUCAAGGGCCCACGAUGGGCCGGGCUGCCAUCCUACUCCUCAGGACCGAGACCGGGGCUUGGGGCCCAGAAUCAGCUGCUGGGGGAGGGGGGAGCCGGCCUGCCCUGCCUGCCUUCACAGGAGCCAGGUGCCCACGCCAGAUCUCUCUCUUUGGCAUGGCCUAUUCAGAGGGGACCUUGCCCCCUCCUUUCCUCUUAGCCCCAAGCCUGGCCCUCUGACUUUCCUGGACAGGAAUGGCCACAAACCUCUAUCCCAGGAGCUCCAUUCUCCCCUGGGCCAGCACCCCUUACUCCCCUUCCCUUAGAACUCUGCCACCUCCCGCCUUCAUUCUGCCCUGGCGCUCAGAUCUUCCUGCCUUUGAUCGGGAUCUCCUGGCCUUCCGAUCCUCCCUCUGCCUCAUUGCUCCCAAAUCUUCUCAGGAGGACCUUACUGCCCACCCUUGCCUGUUCUCCCAUUUAGUCUCCUCCCCUCUUACAAUAGAUUCCUGUCCUCUGGACCCCAAAGAUGGCCACCCUGACUGUGCUCUUUUCCAUCGAGGAAUUCCUUGAUGCCAUGUUUUCAGUUCUGACUUAUCGGAGCCCCCUCUAAAGGGGCUUUGUCUCUGCCCACGUGGGGCAUGUGUGUCCCAUGUAUAGGUGUCCAUGUAUAGGGUAUGUGUGUGUCCACAUGGGUCUUCACGGAUAUGGCUCAUCGAGAUGGCUGCUACAAGGCUGAAUACUCCACUGCACUGAGAGAAGAUGCUGGACUCGAAUUACAUCUACUUUCCUAAAUACUACGAGUCUCUCUCCUCAUUGCUAGCCCUUUAACAGGAAAGGGGGGCUCUAAGCUAUAUAUCCAAGGACUCAGCUCACUUCCCACCAAAUACCAAUCCUGCGAACACUGUCACAUAUAGAAAAUAAUAAAUAAACCCAUUUAACCAGGCUAAUAGCAAACAAGUCAGAAGAGAUACAUGGACUAAAUAUAUUAGACUGUAUAUAGAGGGCUGAAACUCUUAAGUCCAUGCACUGAGGUCAGGCACUUGAGGCUAACUAUCGGUUGGACAAUACUCAAUGGGCAUAUGCUUGGGAAAUGGCCCUUCCCACUAUCCUGUGCCGGCUCGAUGAUUGGUGUAUACAGAGGAUUGUAGGAGGGACUAGGAGGUGCAGUAAGACUAGCCAGAGUCACUUUGGCAGUAGAUGAGGAAGAAGGCAGUCUCGGAGAUUCUGCUUCCAUCCCCUUCACUUCUACCCCUAAAGACCAAGAAUAAAGACCGAGGACUUUUGCUUAUCCUGACUCUGGUUGAUUUUAAGGUAUCCAGGGUGCUAGUGCGGUCAUCACACCUGGCGCCCGAGCAUGGGACCCAAGGACCCUAACUUCACUGAACAAGUCUCUGGUGACCAGGAAAUAGGGUGGAGAAGGAAUCAGAUAGUUCCAACAAGCUGUAUUCACUUUGUCCAUCGGAGAGAGACAGAGCAGACCCUUGAAACGAAGGAGAAGACCCAAGAAACAUUGGUUGGUUCCAUCACUGACUGUUCUGCAAACAUUUUCAUGUAUAUAAAAUAACAAAUAAACCAAUUUGUCCACACCAAAAGCAAACAAAUCAGAAGAGAUAUAUGGAUUAGAACAUACUAGACAACAUGCAGGGUGAAUUUACUCACUGGGAGCAGGAUAUCUCAGCUCAACUCUUAAAAUCCAGAAGUCUCUAAUUUGGUAAACAAAGGACAGGGACAUGAUCAAGGCAUUAGUUCCUAUACAUUCCUAAUCUUUUCCACCAGGGAUCUCUUUCUGAUCUAUUAUCUCAUGUGUCCUCUCUCAAAGGUGGAAGUGAAAGAACUAGGACCUCUCCUCUUCCAAGCUCUUGUUAACUCCAUUGUUCACCCCUGCAUGGAAUAUUGAGUAAUUAAUACCUACCAAAAUUUUUUUGUAGUUCCAAGCGAUAAUCAUGUGGAGCAAGCUUGAACCUUGUAACUACAGUAUAAACACUGAAGCAGAAUCAAGGUUGGUUUUUCUAGCAUCCCAUAUAAUGGACCUAUGAUGCUAUUGAAACUAAAAAUGAAUGGGCACUAAUUAACAGUACAUGCAAAGGAACAUCAUUUGAGAGGGUACUCCAGUGACAAUAUGCCAAGCUACAUGAAAGUCACAAGCCAUUAUAUUUCAGAAAUACCAGUAUAGUAGACAGCAAUCGCUCUGGAUGCAACUUCACACUAGUAGAAGGUCAUUAUUAAAAAUACUGCCCAAUCAUAAGCAUAAAUGCAAAACAACAGAUAUUGCUAUAAUAUUAACAUAAUAAGAAAACAUAAUUCUAUGAAAACAGCAAAAUAAUAUUCAAACCUGCAAAAAUUCACAUGGGCAGCAAUAAACAUGCCACUGCGUACAAGACAUACUGGAUAUCCCACUCUUGGGUGAGCAAUGGAGUUAGCAAGAGCUUGGGAGAAGAGGGAGCUUAGCUCUUUUCACUUCCAUUUUUGAGAGAAGACACAUGAGAUGCCAAAUGAAGAAGAAAUCCCUGAAAAGAAAGAUUUCAGAAGUUCAUUUUCACAGUUGUUCAAUCAUUUCUGAUUCUUUGUGACCCUAUUUGUGUUUUCUUGGAAGAUGCUAGAUUGAUUUGCCAUUUCCUUCUAAUUCAUUUUACAGAUGAGGAAAUUGAGGCAAACGGGAUAAGUGUCUUAAUCAAGGUCACAUGGUUAGUAAGUGUCUGAGACUACCUUUAAACUCAGAUCUAUUUUACCACUUUGCUGCCCCCAUUUUUCAAUAAUAGGUAACUAUUUCUUUUGAAUUGUUUGUAAAAUCAUAACUUAAUUCUAGUAAUUGGUCUGAUGGGCCGGUUCUCUUGUUACUGAUUGAUUCCUAUACUUCUGGAUCCAAAGCAGUAUUUAGUAUGAAUUGACCAAUUGGAUCUUUAUAGACUUGUUUGUCUACACCUAGGCUGGUAGCAGUGAUGGGUUGACUAUCAGUGAUGUUUGGAAAGGAUCUAAGAUGAAUAAAAAGACUGGGAGAAAAACUGUGUGGAAGUUGGGAGCUAAGGGAGAGCCUGGGAGGCAACGAUGGGGUGAAUACACCGCAGCAAAAGUCCCUAGUAACAACCAAGUGUCUAGAUGGACUCUGGGAGGGAUAUUGACAGGAUUAUCUUGUCCCUAAAUGGAUCCUUGUUGAAUUUCUUGCUUUGACAGGAUUAUCUUAUAGAAAUAAAGCUAUCUUGAAUAAACUCCCACAAUUGUUGUAUACAAUCUGGAGGCCAAGCUUCAGAUCUCAACUCGAAGGCCAUUUUGUAUAAACAUUGCUUAUGACUUUCUAAAGCAAGUGACUCAUACUUUUCUUUGAGUCCUUUCCUAAAAAAGAUCCCCUUGUCUUUCCCCAUUGUAAAUUGUGAGUUCAUUAGGAACUUAGCCCACCUUAUGGCAUCAUAAUAAAGUUUUUGCCUCUUGACUCAAAGAUGACCUAAACCUGUGAAUUCUUUUCUGGCAACUCCCCACCUUCCUGACUUGGGCCUCAGAUUAGCUGGACAUCUUGAACAUAGUUGCAGAGUUGUGGUCUUCUCAAGAUACAUUGUGGUAAGACAUUGUUUUUUUCUGAAAAAUUUCACUUUUAUUAGUUGCCAUAAAAUUCAGUGGAUCAGACAAGACAAACAAGGAGAAACUAAGGAAAAGAGAAGCCCAUAAGGCAUUGGUUAAAAAAAUUAGGAAAAUAGAUGAAUGAAACACACAAUAGACUUAGAAACCACAGAACUCAGUUACCUUGCAUUCAAUAAACACUAAAAGAUAAACUGUUUAGGAAAGAA